GUCUGCUGUUUUGAAACUUUUAGGGAAACGUGGGGAAGACUCCACCCAAGGUUUCCUCUCUGACUUGUGCCGAGUCACCAGGAGCUGGGGACCGCAGUCACUCCAGGAAACGAGAGAGAGAGAGAGAGAAGACACAAGGCAGAAGCCCAGUCUCCCCACCCCACAGACGAAGGGCCCAGGCGCUGAGUGAGACUGGCUGCCGGCCUUGGGGCAGCUGGAUGGGCAGUCAGGGGGACAGUCAGGGGGACAGUCAGGCGGACGUCCCCACGGCACACACAGUAACACCGCUUGCCCGUCUUGCCCCUGUGGCCACCUGCACCCGACCGGCCUCCAGGACUAGUUAACAGUCUGCCAGAGACGCGUGGGACCCGGGAACGGGCUCAGGACCCCACGGAGAGAGACCGUUAGACGUGCCCUGGCCCUGGGGCGGCACAGCACAGGUGACUCACUGGCUUGCCCAGAAAGCUCCCGAGGAAGCUCUUGGUCACGCCCUGGUAGGGACCUGCUCAGAGGAGGGACUGGACGCCCGGGAGGACACGGCGCCCCGUGGCCAGGCUGUGCCCAGCCUCCCUCAGCCUGGCGUGCUCCCCAGGCCCUGCUGUUCCCCAGCACGGCUUCUGUGACUCAGCCCUCAGACUCUUCUGCCCCAAGGUGCCAAGGUCCCCUCAUUACCUCGGGGCCACCUGCGGCCAGCCCGGCACCCGGCACGUCAGUUCUCACCCUGCUGUGGAGCGAGAGGCGACCAUUCCUCUGCCCCCGUCCCCGCCCCUUUGCAUGUGGCUCUGCAGAGCCUGCUGCCCGCUGCGUCCAGGCCGCGGGACCUGCUGGCCAUCAGGCAGGACCGACAGGGGCUGGGGCACGGGCUCUCUGUCCCCAGGUCCUUGAGCCUGCCCUGUAGAAGGCCAGGCCAGCCCAGUCACUGUCUCGCUGGCCACCAGCUGGGCCCAGGGGAGUCAGCCCGGCCCACUCAGCUGCUGGUCCUGUGCUGGGUGGUCGGCUGAGGACGACGGCCCAGGAAGGCCACACAAUCAGGAGCAAGUCAGACCAGACAGACGGUGGCUGUGUUAAGCGACUAGAUUUCGGGUUUGUCUGUUCCACAGCAAAAGUUGACAGACUCUUCUGGGUCUAUGUUCCAAGGUCACCUUCUGAGAGGCCUUUCCUGAACCAUGUCACUCUCUACACCCUCACUCUGAGGGUCUUGGAGAUAACACUGCCUGAAGCAUAAGCUAUGUUUACUCACGAGCUCAUUCCCACUAGUCUCCCCAAUUCAAACAGAGGCCCCCUGGGGCCAGGACUUGGUUUUGCUCAUUGCUGUAUCCGCAGAGCCUAGAACAGUGCCUGACAAAUACAUGCUCAAUAAAGAUUUAUUAAAAAAAAAACCUCAAGAUCGAUUGAAAAGUAGGUAUUCAGUAUCUGUCUGCUAGCAAAUGAGGCCACGUAAAACUCCCAGGUCUCACUAAAUUCAGAGUGAAAAGUAAAUAAAUAUUUAUUGAUCAUCGACUAUGAA